rnacentral:rRNA from 1 species
UACGGGGGGGGCAAGCGUUGUUCGGAAUUACUGGGCGUAAAGGGCGUGUAGGUGGCCAACUAAGUCCGACGUGAAAUCCCCGGGCUCAACCCGGGAACUGCGUCCGAUACUGGCAGGCUUGAAUUCGGGAGAGGGAUGCGGAAUUCCAGGUGUAGCGGUGAAAUGCGUAGAUAUCUGGAGGAACACCGGUGGCGAAGGCGGCAUCCUGGACCGAGAUUGACGCUGAUGCGCGGAAGCCAGGGGAGCAAACAGG